rnacentral:lncRNA from 1 species
AGGGCAACAUUAAAAGGACCUCCAUCAUCUGGUGGUCGAAUUCAAGGAAAAAAGAGAGAAAAAGAAGAAAAAAAAGGGAAAAGAAAAGAGAGGAACCCUAGUUUAUGCAUGGAAAAAUUCUGCAUUCAAUCUAGCUGACUUCUUCCUCCUCUAAGUCUGUUGCGCCAUUAGUGUUAGGGGUCCCUGAUUAGAGUCUUUAGAUCAGAUCUAAAUCCUCUUCAAUCCUUUUAAACCUUUCCUCCAAGUUCUUCCAAGAAGGCGGAUCAAAAGUUGAUAGCGUUGGGAAGAUCAAAUUUCAGCCUCAAGAAAUUCUGCGCAAGCUAGCACUUCCGCAGGAUUGGAUCUCUUCAAGAACUUCGUGUGGACUUCUGUUGCCCAGUAGAUACAACCCAAGAGGGGGGGGGGUGAAUUGGGUCUUUUAAAACUUUUGUACUACUUCUAAAACUUUUCAAUUAAUUAUGCUAAGUUGUAUAGAUGCACAGUGGAAUUUAAACUUAGCAACAGUUUGAUUUAUUGAAUGAGACUUGAUUAAGUAAAUUAAAUAUGCUUGCAACUAAAGGAUGCACGGAUAAGAGUUAAGCAAGCAAUUUAUCUAAAUAAGUAGGUGAGCAAGUUAGACAAUGACAAAAAGCAUCACAAACACAACAAACAUAUAGUGGUUCGGUGCACCCCAGCACCUACAUCCACUCCCCAAGACCUCUUGGGAAUUUCACUAUAAUCCUCCAGAUUACAGUCCGGUAGUUUUGCGAGUGCACUACCCAACUCGUUGUUUUACACCGGGCUAA